UUUCCGUAGGUGAACCUGCGGAAGGCUCCUUAAAGACUUUGCCCCGUCCUCUCGAGGAUGGGUCCUCUUCUAAACCGUGUCUCCAUACCUUUGUUGCUUUGGCCGACCGCUGUCCCAGAACCAACUAACAAUGACUGUGCCCGCCAGAGAAGCCCGACGCUGCUGUUUAGUAUUUUCUGAGUGCGCUAUGUUGUUUAGGACUUUCAACAACGGAUCUCUUUGGUCUGGCAUCGAUGAAGAACUCGGCACAUGUGUAGACCACACCACUGAACUCCAGUC
rnacentral:misc_RNA from 1 species